ensembl:lncRNA
UGCUCCUGGGCUUCUGAGCCUCACCCUAUGAUGAGAACUCUUCCCCUAGGAGCUCUUCUGGAAUGCUUGAACUGUGUUGACACCUUAGUUCAUUUGUGUCUGCCUUGUUGGCUCAGGAGAGCUCUUGCCUUGCCCGUCUCCAAACCACAACAAAAGGCUGGAGGAGGAGGCAGCAGCUGCCAUAUGGCAUAAUGAAAAAGAUGGUGACUUCAAAACAGCUGGAUGCUAAUCACACCUCUGCUAGCAUCACAAGAGCCCCUCGAGUGGAAAUGGGGCUGGAUCCUGCACAUCUGGAAGUGACUGGGAAUCCAGUGACUACAUCUCAAACUGCAGAUGUUUUUCCCAUACUGGUGUCAGGACCAAAGGUCAUACUCAUGCAUCUGCUCUAUUUCCAUGCUUUGUAUAUCUGGGUAAACAGUUACUGCUUAAUCAAUGUAGAUGCCCAUGAAGCAAGGCAGUGGCCUGGCAAGGGAGAGCACGCAGAAUCUGAUGAGGCACUCAAAGGCUGCACCAUUGAAAAGGUGGAGGACUACCUAGAAGAGUGGAGCAGCUUCCCCUGAGGACACUCGCAGGGGAGUGGAGACUGGGAAGGGACCAGCAGGGCCUGCAAACAGCACCACAGCUUCCUGCCAGCCACAGAUGUAGCUGGACAGUGUGCUCGACCUGAAAUGCCCAGCAGACAGCCUGGAACAGAAAUCCGGCUGCGACCCAAGCCAGCACACACAGGGAGCCAGAGCUGUCGGCCAGCUCCCUGAGCCCGCACAUGUUGGAAGCAGAGCUGGAGGAGGAGGAUGGAGCCGAGGUCCCACAACCUGUCAAAGGAGGAAGGCCCCUGUCCUGAAGGCAGCCGGACAGGAUAGGACAUGCUCACCACACCAGUUCUGAUGUCAGAAUGAAUGAUCCAGCCAGAUGACAGGGCUUUACGACAACAUCACCAGCAUCCAUGAGGCCCCAGGAGUCCAGAACAAAAAAAGGAAAAUGUUGUGGAAUACUUGUUUACACUGUGAAAAAUGUGUCUUUGCCAAGGCACCCUCUGAUUGGCUUAAUAAAGAGCUGGAUGGUCAAUAGCUAGGCAGGACUUCUGAGGAUGGAGGGGAUUCUGGGAAGAAGAAAGGCAAAGUCACCAGCCAGAUGAAGAGGAAGCAAGAUGGGCAAUGCAAAGUAAAGGAAACAGCUCUGAUCCACCACACACUUCUGCCACCAAGAUGUUCUACCCCAUAAGAGGCCCAGAAGCAUGGAGCCAAGUGACAAAGGGACUGAACCCUCUGAAACCAUGAGCCAACUCAAAUCAUCCUGGAAGCUGUUUCCAUCAGGCAUUUUGUAACAAUGAUAUAAAGCCUCUGGGAACCAUUAAUCUACUUCUAUCCUUAUGGAUUUGGAGAUUUUGGACAUUUCCUAGAAAUGGACUCAUCACGUUUAUGGAUUUCUGCAGCUGGCUCUUUUCAUCGCAUCUUAUGUAAUAAUGUGUUUGCACGUUUCGCCAUGUGCUAGUAGCUUAUUCAAUUUCAUGUCUGGGCCACACCACACCAUAUGGAGAUACUGCCCUUUAUUUAGCCACUCAUCCAUCAAGGGGCAGUAGAGCUGCCCCCACUUUGAGGGAAAGGCAAUGUGUUACUGUCUGUCCAGCUACAUGAGGCGCCACAAGCUGAUUUUCUGUAAAAGGGUGAGCAGGACUGUAUAUUCUGACCAGCAAUGCGUGAAAGUUUCACUCCCCUCCAUUCUUGCCAACAUUUUUGUCCACCUUUUAGGAAACCAGUGAACAUUAAGUGGUGUCUCCUGGUUCUCACUGCUUCCUAAAUGGCUCUGAUGGCGAGUUUCUUUUCACCUGGUUUGGGAUGUUUACAUCCAAUCUUCUCUGGAAAAACACUUAAAUUCUUUGUCCCUUUAGCUGGAAGUUUUUCUUUCUAUUGUUGAGUCAUAAGAGUUUGGGAUACUAGACCCUCCUCAGAUACAUGUUCUGAGAGCAUUUUGACAACAUGCAGCUGUCCUUCUGCUUUCCUGGCAGCGUCACUUGAGGCAUUUUAAGAUUUUGAUAAAUUAGAAUUAAUCUUUUUUUGUUACUCAUGAAGCACAAUUGCAUGAAGGGUUAUUCCUUCAUUUUCUUUUAAGAGAUUUAUUUUAGUUCCUAAAUGGCAGUCUAUGAUCCACUUAGAAUGCUUUUUUGGAUAUGGUAUGAGGUUGGGGUCUAAUUUUAUUUUGUUUCAUGUGACCAUCAUAGAAGUAUUAUCUAUCAAAAGGUCACAUAUUCCCUCAUCAAACUGUCUUGGAACAAUUGCCAAAAUUAAGUUAAUCAUAAAUAUAGGGAUCAAUUUUUGGAAUCUCAAUUUUAUCCCAAUUAUCUAUGUCUAUAUGUGUAUCUUUAUGUGAUUAUCGAGUUGUUAUUGCAGCAUGUUUUGAAAUUGAGAAGUGUGACUCCUCUUAAGAUUAUUUUGAUAUUGAAGAUGUUUUGCAUUUUAUAUUAGUAUAAGCUAAGUAUGCCUUUUUCUGAAAAAUAUAGACCCAGAAUAUUGACAAAUUAACUGAAUUACAAAUUGAUUUGGGAAGUAAUGCUACUCAAGAGUCCUGUCUCCCAGCAUGAAGGAAUUACCUAUGUGCCUUUGGCUUCUUCUUCACUGUUUUGUGACUUACUUCAUGAGUCUUUGCUUCUUUUGUUAAAUUUCUUACCAAAUACUUUAUUCUUUUUGAUACUACUGAAAAUGGAAUUGUCAUUUUAAUUUUCUUGGAGGUUGUUCAGUAAUAGUAUAUAGGAAAUCAGUUCAUUUUUCUGUAUUAAUCCUGUCUGGUGUUACCUAGCCAAAUUUGUUAUCUCUAAUAGUUUUCUUUUGGAUAUGUGUAUCUCCUAUAUAUGUAUAUAUCCAUGCAUAAAAUAG